rnacentral:rRNA from 1 species
GACAUAGGUCGCAAACGUUAUCCGGAAUUAUUGGGCGUAAAGGAUGCGUAGAUGGUUCAGUAAGGUACUGGUGGGAAAUCGAGGCCCAACCUCGUGGAAGUUAGUAAUACUGUUGAACUUGAGUGCAGGAGAGGUUAACGGAACUUCAUGUGGAGCGGUAAAAUGCGUAGAUAUAUGAAAGAACAUCAAUAUGGCGAAGGCAGUUAACUAUUCUGCUACUGACAUUGAGGCAUGAAAGCGUGGGGAGCAAAACGG